GUAGGGCCCAAGCGUUACCCGGAAUUACUGGGCGUAAAGCGUGCGCAGCCGGGUUUUGUAAGUCGCUAUUUAAAUCUCCCCGCUCAACGGGGAACGUGGUGGUGAUACUGCAAAACUUGAUGUCCAAAGGGGAUGUCGGAACAGUUGGUGGAGUAGUGAAAUGCGUUGAGAUCAACUGGAACACCAAAGGCGAAGGCAGACAUCUGGGUGGAAUAUGACGGUGUUGCACGAAAGCGUGGGGAGCAAAACGGAUUAGAUACCCGUGUAGUCCACGCCGUAAACUAUGGACACUAGAUAUCGGGCUGGUGACGGUUCGGUGUCGUAAGCUAACGCGUUAAGUGUCCCGCCUGGGGAGUACGGCCGCAAGGCUA
rnacentral:rRNA from 1 species